CCGCGUCCACGUUUUGACAGGCUUGGCAUAUUAUGCAACCGUCUGGCUCCGCCCGCGACUCGCCAGCCUCUCAGCGCAGCGCGGCGUAGCGCGGCGCAGCAAACACGGAGCGCCGCGGGGCACAAGGCUCUUAAACAUGGCUGCCGCUGCGACCGACGGCGCUGAGCACGGCUCCUCCGCCCAGGCGAACGAACGAAGCGAGGCACCGCUGGAAGAAGAGACCGAGGAGGAGAGGCCGGGAGGCCCGACGAGCCCCCCGGCGGAGCCUGGGCAGGGCGAGGCGAAGAUGGAGGAUCGACAUGAUGAUAAGGAUGAGGAGGAUGAGGAGAAGGAGGGCGCGAAAGACGGAGCGCCGGAAAGGGAUGCGCAGCCUCGCGUCGGUCCCCCCGAUCAUGAUCAUGAUCAUGCGACAGAGGCGACAGUAGGAAACGCCGCCGGAGCAGCAGGAGAACUGGACGAGGAAGAGGAGGAGGAGCAGGAAGAGGAGGACGAGGAAGAAGAUGUGGAGGAGGAGGAUGCGGACUGCGAGCUCCCCGGAGCCGAAGAGAGCCCCGAGCAGCAGAGCCCGGCCAGCAGCAGCAGCAGCGCCGGAGACCCCGCGGACGGGCCGGAGAAGGAGCCGGAGCCCGAGCCGGAGCCCGGGAAGCGGAAGGAGCCGAAGCCGGAACAAAGAGACGUCGACGGCGAGUCUUCCGAGUCCAGCGACUGCGGGAAGGAUUCUGGCGGAGGCGGGGCCGCGGAGCGCGGUGGCGCCGCGGGCAGCGAGCACGAGCACGAGCACGGCGACAAGAGGCGCUCGAGCGUGGAGAUGUCGUCGUCGUCCUCGGACGGGGAACCCCUGAGCCGCAUGGACUCGGAGGACAGCAUCAGCAGCACCCUCAUGGACAUGGAGAGCACCGCGUCCAGCGGACGUUCCACACCAGCCAUGAUGAACGGACAGGGCAGCGCCACGCCCUCGUCGGCCAAGGGCGUCGCCUACACUUGCUGCUGGGACCAGUGUCUCAUCCACUUCGCCUCCAGCCCUGACCUGGCGGAACACAUCCGUGGGACGCACGUGGACGGCCAGCGCGGGGGGGUGUUUGUGUGCCUCUGGAAGGGCUGUAAGGUGUACAACACCCCGUCGACCAGUCACAGCUGGCUCCAGAGACACAUGCUGACGCACAGCGGGGACAAGCCCUUCAAGUGCGUGGUGGGCGGCUGCAAUGCCAGCUUCGCCUCCCAGGGGGGGCUGGCGCGCCACGUGCCCACCCACUUCAGCCAGCAGAACUCGUCCAAGGUGUCGAGCCAGGCCAAGGUGAAGGAGGAGUCGCCGUCCAAGGCGGGCGUCAACAAGAGGAGGAAGCUGAGGAACAAGCGUCGCCGCUCCCUGCCACGGCCUCACGAUUUCUUUGACGCCCAGACGAUGGACGCCAUCCGACAUAGAGCCAUCUGCCUCAACUUGGCGACGCACAUCGAGAGCCUGGGCAACGGUCACAGCGUGGUCUUCCACAGCACGGUAAUAGCGAGGCGAAAGGAGGAUUCUGGGAAGGUCAAGGUCCUCCUUCACUGGACUCCAGAAGACAUAUUGCCGGACGCCUGGGUGAACGAGGCCGAACGACCGCAGCUCAAGACCAAGGUGGUUCACCUGUCGCAGCUCCCUCACGACACAGCCAUGCUGCUGGAUCCCAAUAUAUACCGAACCCUGCCCCAGAAGCGGCUGAAGCGGAGGUAAGACCCAGGUCCUGGUCCGGUGGACUCGCCGCACUGCCCUACCUCUAGGUCUGCCCCCCACCCCCCUCUCCUGGUCACGCGUGUUGUGUCCGGCACACGACACGGACGGCGCCCCGAGGCCCCAACCGCUCGGGUGUUUUUCUAGACUCUGGAGCUCCGCUUCGUGCCCCAAGUUGUUGCCUGCUGCGGUUCCCGGAGUCGAGGAACGGACCGAACCCCGAAACGGUUGAGACGACCGAACUUUUGCUCUCCUCCUCUUUCUUACUCUCACCGGAACUACACCACAGUUGUCGGCGGUACUUUGUCUCCCUUCGGUUUUCGGAAGCUGUGGAAGAAUAGAGAACAGCGUUUAGGGUCGUUUCCUUCUAUUUUUUUUGUACCAUAACUACUGCUGGAUGGAGAGCUGAAAUUGCCCCCGAUACGACCGGGUACGACGUUUUGGUCUCGGGGAGCAGACAGUAGUGCCUGUAAAUAUUUCUGCAAAUGUGUAAUAUAUUUUUAUACCAAGGAACUGUACUGUGUUGUAGAUUGGACCUUAUCUUCCUGCUGCGUUUAGAUGAGUGAAAAAAAAGUUACUGUAUAUAGAGGGUAAAAAAUGGUGGUAAAACAUCGCUAGAUGUCCUGGAGAAGCUGUCGAUGUGAAUGUUGUCGUCGGACGCCCUGCCCUUUAGAGCUCAGGAGGGCCGUGAAGAAGCGUGAUUGGCUCUGCAACGGCAGAAAAAGAGCAGUAAUUGUGGUAAAAGUGUAACGAAAGUAAUAAAACCUCCUUUUUUGCCA